GAUGAACGCUGGCGGCGUGCCUAAUACAUGCAAGUCGAGCGAACAGACGAGGAGCUUGCUCCUCUGACGUUAGCGGCGGACGGGUGAGUAACACGUGGAUAACCUACCUAUAAGACUGGGAUAACUUCGGGAAACCGGAGCUAAUACCGGAUAAUAUAUUGAACCGCAUGGUUCAAUAGUGAAAGACGGUUUUGCUGUCACUUAUAGAUGGAUCCGCGCCGCAUUAGCUAGUUGGUAAGGUACCGGCUUACCAAGGCAACGAUGCGUAGCCGACCUGAGAGGGUGACCGGCCCCGCGGGAAAAGAAAAACCUCACAGAGUCAUAAGGAAGGCAGGAGUGGGGAAUCUGCGGGAAGGGGAGAAAGAUUAACGGACAAACGAAAGGUGAGUGGAGAAGGUCUCCGGAACGAAAAACCGGUUUAUAAGGAAAGAACAAAUGUGUAAGGAAGAAUAAGGACGUGGACGGUAAAAAAACAAAAAGCCCGGGCAAAAAAGGA
rnacentral:rRNA from 1 species